AUGAACGCUAGCUACAGGCUUAACACAUGCAAGUCGAGGGGCAGCAUUAUCGAAGCUUGCUUUGAUAGAUGGCGACCGGCGCACGGGUGAGUAACGCGUAUCCAACCUUCCCCAUAGUCAGGAAUAGCCCGGCGAAAGUCGAAUUAAUGCCUGAUGUUUUCCACGGACGGUAUCUGAUGUGGAACAAAGAUUGAUCGCUAUGGGAUGGGGGAUGCGUCUGAUUAGCUUGUUGGCGGGGUAACGGCCCACCAAGGCAACGAUCAGUAGGGGUUCUGAGAGGAAGGUCCCCCACAUUGGAACUGAGACACGGUCCAAACUCCUACGGGAGGCAGCAGUGAGGAAUAUUGGUCAAUGGGCGAGAGCCUGAACCAGCCAAGUAGCGUGCAGGACGACGGCCCUAUGGGUUGUAAACUGCUUUUAUACGGGAAUAAAGUGAUGCCUGCGGGCGUUAUUGCAUGUACCGUACGAAUAAGGACCGGCUAAUUCCGUG
rnacentral:rRNA from 1 species